GAUGAACGCUAGCGGCAGGCUUAACACAUGCAAGUCGAGCGCGUAGCAAUACGAGCGGCAGACGGGUGAGUAACGCGUGGGAAUCUACCCCAUCUCUACGGAACAACUCCGGGAAACUGGAGCUAAUACCGUAUACGUCCUUUUGGAGAAAGAUUUAUCGGAGAUGGAUGAGCCCGCGUUGGAUUAGCUAGUUGGUGGGGUAAUGGCCUACCAAGGCGACGAUCCAUAGCUGGUCUGAGAGGAUGAUCAGCCACACUGGGACUGAGACACGGCCCAGACUCCUACGGGAGGCAGCAGUGGGGAAUAGUUGGACAAUGGGCGCAAGCCUGAUGCAGCGACGCCGCGUGAAGGAUGAAGGUCUUCGGAUUGUAAACUUCUAAUCAGCAGGGAAGAAAGGGCUUAAGCCUAUGACGGUACCUGACUAAGAAGCCCCGGUAACUACGUG
rnacentral:rRNA from 1 species